rnacentral:rRNA from 1 species
UACGUAGGGGGCUAGCGUUGUCCGGAAUCAUUGGGCGUAAAGCGCGCGUAGGCGGCCCGGUAAGUCCGCUGUGAAAGUCAAAGGCUCAACCUUUGAAUGUCAGCGGAUACUGCCGGGCUAGAGUCCGGAAGAGGCGAGUGGAACUCCUGGUGUAGCGGUGGAAUGCGCAGAUAUCAGGAAGAACACCAACGGCGAAGGCAGCUCGCUGGGACGGAACUGACGCUAAGGCGUGAAAGCGUGGGGAGCGAACAGG